rnacentral:rRNA from 1 species
ACGUCAAAUCAUCAUGCCCCUUAUGUCCUGGGCUACACACGUACUACAAUGGCGACUACAGAGUGAGGCAAGACCGCGAGGUGGAGCAAAUCACUAAAAGUCGUCCCAGUUCAGAUUGCAGGCUGCAACUCGCCUGCAUGAAGUCGGAAUUGCUAGUAAUGGCAGGUCAGCAUACUGCCGUGAAUACGUUCCCGGGCCUU